CACGGGGGGAGCAAGCGUUGUUCGGAUUCAUUGGGCGUAAAGGGCUCGUAGGCCGCUCUGUAAGUCGGGAGUGAAAGACCACGGCUCAACCGUGGAAACGCUUUGGAAACUGUGGAGCUUGAGGCCGGGAGAGGAGAUUGGAAUUCCUGGUGUAGCGGUGAAAUGCGUAGAUAUCAGGAGGAACACCCGUGGCGAAGGCGAAUCUCUGGACCGGUUCUGACGCUGAUGAGCGAAAGCUAGGGGAGCAAACAGG
rnacentral:rRNA from 1 species